UACGAAGGGGGCUAGCGUUGCUCGGAAUUACUGGGCGUAAAGGGCGCGUAGGCGGUUGGAUAAGUCAGCUGUGAAAACCACGGGCUUAACUCGUGGCCUGCAGUUGAGACUGUCUGGCUUGAGUGUGGGAGAGGAGAGUGGAAUUCCUGGUGUAGCGGUGAAAUGCGUAGAUAUCAGGAGGAACACCGGUGGCGAAGGCGGCUCUCUGGACCACAACUGACGCUGAGGCGCGAAAGCGUGGGGAGCAAACAGG
rnacentral:rRNA from 1 species